AGAAAUUAAGCACGUAAGGUACCUUCAUUUGUGAAUAAAGUUUUCUAAAUGUUAAUGUCCUGCACCAAAUUACUCAGACAUGCUCUUAAGUAUCCUAGCAAUCUUGAAAGAAUAUGACUAUAAUAUUCAGGAAGAGUCCACACUGAAAAAAUUUUAAUGACUUUAAAAUGGUCUUUCUUAGAAAAGUUAUAAUGAUAUUCUGCUCCAAACUUUCAAUAUAUAUUCCCUUCAAUUCCAAAGCAGGAAAAAAGGUGCUAGCCAGGCUCAUUAGGAGAUAAGGAAGAGAAUAUUUUGCCCCAAGGGUAUGGAAGAAAGAAGUGUGACUGGCCUAAUGAAUAUUUCUAUGUCAGAAACCCUCUUCUUAUAACUCUCAGCACAUAUUAUACCUCAGCUCUCUCUAUGUGUUGAGGGGAUGAUUUUCAUUGCUAGGCUUUUAUCUUUUGAAUCAGUUUCAGUAUCAUGUGUUUUCCCAUAGUGCCACAAGUGACUUGAAUUAGGAAGUUUUCCUUUUCUAGAUCCUAGCCUUAGAAAGAAUAACUUGAUCCAACAAUGGUCUUAAAAAGUUGCUCAGAAAGUAGGUAAGUGAUAUUUAUAAAAUCUGAACUUCAAAUUGAACCUCCUAGAGUAGUAAUCAUAGGGCUCCUAAAAGUCAAUAUGUCCAAAUUCCUUGAUACAGUAGCAAGCAGUAAUUAUACUGCAUUAUAAGAGCCAUUAUCUACAUGAAUAAUAUGUUCAGAAAUAUUCUAAGAAUGAUUUGCACAUUGGCUAAAAAUUCUGGUUUAUCUAACAAGUGUGCACCAGUUCCCCAUGGAAAUAGGAUGAAAUACUGAUAUACACCAACACCUAAUCCAGAAAUCAAUAAAUGGCAUCAGAGUUGCCAUGUCAGGACAAUUUCAUCAAAAGAAAUUCUUUUCCACUUGAGUUGUGAUGGGGUUUUCCAAGCCCCCCACAGUUAUUGCUGGUAUUUUUGCUAUACCUGAUUUCCUAAAGGUCUCAUAUAGCUUUAUCUAUUUAAGCUAAAUUUUGUAGCCAUGGACAAAUGAAAAAAAAAAAAGAUGGCCAGAUGCCUUUCAUUUCUAAUUUCAUAAGGAAAAACAUUCUUUCCUCAAUAUCAAAGAGAUUGUUUAUCCUUUAUAUAUAUUCUUCAUAGAGACAAUUUGGAUUCUUUAAAAUCCUGUGGUACUACAGCUUGGUCUAUCUCACUUGGAAAAUAGAUGGGUCAAUUUAAUAGCAUUUACCCAUGGAUUGAAUAAACUCUAGUAAUGAAGCUUACUACCCUAUUCCCACCACUAUCACCACUCUUUAUUCCCUCUUCUAACACCAUCCUAUUUUCCAGAUACUUAUGUGAACAGGGAUAUUCUACCAAAGGGAAAAAUUUAGAGUCAUUUUGGUCCACAACUUCUUCAUCAAUUAAGCCAUAAUCAUGUCAAUACUUUUAACAAGAAUACCUAGCAGUCCAAGAGAAACCAAACUCUAGACUCAGAACAUCAUGGAGGCAAUAAGGUUAUUACUUGGCAUUAAGACUUAGAAUUUUAUACUAGACCAAAAAUGUAUUUCUUUUCUCUGGCAAGAAUAAAUUAAGAUAAAUGAUUUCCAAGAGAAGGACUUUCCACAUUUGUAUUUUUAAGCAUCAGCAGAGUGUCUAUCAAAUUACCUUUCAUUCUGCUAUGAAUAGUAUGCCUCAACCUUACAAACUGAAUCAAUCCUGCAAAGGAAUAAAGUCUCAGGAAUUUUGGGAAUGGGAAUCUUUUAAAGCCUAGUCCUCCACAGAUUGUGGGAAAGAAAUAAUGUAGGAAAAGAAACACUUCAGAGGUUAUCUCAAUAUCACAAUAACACUACAAUAAUUACAUUUAGAGCCACUAUUAGAAACUAUCAUGCACAAGACAUUUUCCUAUUUCCUGUAUAAGAUAUUAUAGAUUCUUGCUGCCUGGACACAUUAUAAAGCAUCUUAUUUAUGUACAGGUUUUCUCUUUUACUAGAAUGUGAGCUCCUAAAGGGCAGGGAUUCGUUUUUGCUUGUUUGAGGGUUUUUGUUUUUCACCCUUUUUGUAUCCCUAGUGCUUAGCAUAGUGCCUGACCUAUAUAACAAGUGCUCAGUAUAUGCUUGUGAAUUAAUCAAUAAUCACAUUGGAAGUAAACACGUGGAAAAAGGAUAAACUUUGCAGAAGAUGCUCUGGAAAAUUUAGAAUUGGUUGAUGAGAAGAUGUUUCACAAUGUGAAUUAUUUGGGAAAUAUUAUAAAUAGUAUUCUGCAUCAUGUUCUUUAUGAAAAAAGUGGCCAAUAAACUUUAUACUAAUAUUCUCAACCACCAGAUCAUACUUGCAAGUUUUGAAAGAGUAUGAGUUCCUUGAAUGCAAAUGGGCUGUGACUAGCACAGUGGCUGGUAUAUAGGAAGUGAUGAAUAAAUGCUUUUUGAUGAAUUGAUUAUGAGAUAGAACACUGAAAACAGCCUGAAGAUUACCUCCAGUGUCACCCAUUACCUGGAUAAAAGCAAUGUUAAGGGGGAAGAGACUGUACAACAUACCUUAGUUUGGCAGUAUAAUAGCAUUGGAACAGGGUUGGAGUGAUUAAAAGAAUCUGAGGAAAGAAAUGUAAUGAAAAGAUUUCUUUGCCCUACUAUUACUACUAUCAUAACAUACCAAGUAUAAAGAGGUGCCUUAGCAAAAGGUUGGACUUUUUAUCUUUGAAGUUUUUAUUUUUGUCUUAAGCUUUUAAUAUAUAAUUUCUUCCUAGCAAUAAAGGGAAUACACAAUACAUGUACUGUAAUCAAUUUCAGAGUAAUAAUGUUCCUGGUAGAUGUCUAUCAUUUAUAUAGAGAUAUCUUGUCUUUUUCAUGAAGCAAUAUAUUUUUAACUUGGAAUCUACUCUUCUCCCUCACCAGUUCCAGUAUUUUUCCAGUGUCAGGGUCUUUUUUAUUUUUUAUUUAGCAUUUAUGUUUUGUAAAUAUACAAAGCAAUUCUUCUUUUCUACUCUAUGUUCCAGAUUACAUUGUUGGAGAAAUUUGAAUAAUUGUUAAAAGACUAUCUAAAAUAAGGCUGUCAAAUAAAGCACUAACACCUC
rnacentral:lncRNA from 1 species